rnacentral:rRNA from 1 species
UACGUAGGGUGCGAGCGUUGUCCGGAAUUAUUGGGCGUAAAGAGCUCGUAGGCGGUGUGUCACGUCGGCCGUGAAAACCUGCAGCUUAACUGUGGGCGUGCGGUCGAUACGGGCAUCACUGGAGUUCGGCAGGGGAGACUGGAAUUCCUGGUGUAGCGGUGAAAUGCGCAGAUAUCAGGAGGAACACCGGUGGCGAAGGCGGGUCUCUGGGCCGAUACUGACGCUGAGGCACGAAAGCGUGGGGAUCAAACAGG